UUGAAAUAGAAUUGAGUUCAUUUGUAGAUAUGUUAUGUUCAGUGAUAAUUACUGGAUCAUAGACUCAGAGAAGGAAAGGAUAUUAGAUGUAAUCUAGUCCAACCCCCUUUCCUGGAUCUGCUCUUGGAUCUCUAGACUUUUCCACCAUUCCCUAGCAGUCUCUUCACUUGUUUACACAAUGAGGAAUCCAAAAGAGCCCAGAUAUCUCCUCAGCUUGCAAAUGUUUGAAUCACAGCAAGAAAAGCAACAUUGAAUUAUAAUAGUAACCUUUUUGAAACCAGAUGGGUUUAUCUGGAUCUUUGAGGUACAACAAAAUGCUCCUGAAUUCCUUGAACCAAUAGAAGCAAUUAUUUUACUAGGAGGAAAGAACUUUGGAUGCCUCUAGCUGUGGUGAUAAAGCUCCUGAAUGAGACCUGGUCAGAUGAUUAGAGAUAUGACUUCUGUCACCUAAUUUGCCAAGAAAUCAAAAUAUAAAACAAAGAACUUCCAGAAUCUGUCAUACAGUGGAGUGGAGAUUCUGGACUUGAACCCCAGUCUUCUGACUCAAAAUCCAGCAUUAUUUCCAUGGAGCACGGGUGAGGGUAGAUGGAGAGGGAAUACUUUCAAACAAAUCUA